UUCCGGAGCCGGAGUUAGUUUUCACUCUCGGUGAGCUGGUUGCAGCUUUUUUUUCCAAGUGUGUGGGAGAGGUUUUAUUUUAAAUGUGAAAUGGAGGCCAGUCUGACCUGUGCAGUUUGCUUAUCGAUGUUUGAGAACCCCACUACUCUACCCGUAUGCUCGCACAAUUUUUGCAAGAAAUGUAUCUUGGAGUGCGUGACCAAGUCGUUCUGCUCGGGCAUCGGACUGGGCAGCAGCAACAACAUCUGGAGAAACAGCCAGCUCGAGUGCCCGCUGUGCCGAAAGACCAACUUCAUCGCCGACGGCGCCGUCAACCUGCCCGGCAACACCACUCUGGCCGAGGUGGUGAAGCUCUUCAGGUCGCAGCAUUGCGCUAGCGGCGGCAGUUGGCAGGAGCGAUGCGAGGAGCUGGAGGAGGGCCCGGGCCCCGGCCCCGGCCCCGGCCCCGGCCCCGGCCCCGGCGCCAGCCCCAAGAACCCGGGCGCCGGGCGUGCCACCUGCGAGCGCCACCCGCCCCGGAGCCUGCUGCUCUUCUGCAAGGUCUGCAAGCAAGUGGCGUGCGGCCAGUGCGUGUCCGAGCACCACCGCGGCGUCUUCCACUCUGUCAACUUGAUUGACAUCAUCUACCAGGAGGAAAAGCUUGAUUACUUUAACAACCUGAGAGAACUGAGACAGCUGAGUGAGAGACUAAAGGCUGAAGUUGCUGAUAAACCUUCAGAUAUGGAGCUCAUUUUGGAGUAUGAGAAAGAAAUUGUUAUGAACAAGUUCGAUGAGAUUUCAGAGAAAUUGGAAUUGAAAAAAAAGCAAUUGUUGGAAAAGAUUGAAAAACAGAUUGAAUGCAAGAAGGCUGAACGCAAAGCUAGCCUGGCAAGAAAACAAACACAGAAGGACGCAGUCGAGAAGUACUUGAAAGAUUGUGAACAGCUGGUGAAUGAAUGCGAUCCUGUAAAUUUUCUUAAGGUGGCCUGCGACUUAAAUGAAAGAGUAAGAGGCAACCUUGCUAUUGUUCUCCCUGCAUUGAAAACGCAAAAUGAAUUGGCUUGUCUGCAGCCCAGUCAGUUUCACGUAGAACCAGUUCUGGAUAGCAUCUCUGCACUUCAGUUGGACAAAGGUACAACAGAACCAAAUUGUGCUUCAGAUACCAUGGGUCAGAUAGUCGCAGAUGGUUACAAAUUUAAAACUCCUUUGAAAAUGUGGAAACAGCCCAAGGAUUUGGACAAACCAAACUUUUCUCCAAAAACAGUCUUUGACCUUCUUGAUGGCCAGGAAAAUCGCCAUUGGUGUCUUACUGCAAAAUUUGAAUAUCAGGACAUGAGUCUGGAGGAAAUGCGCUACAAAUACUACCAUUCCUAUAGGAAAGACUGGAACUGUUUCAUGAAUGAAACAUGUUCUGGAGAUGUAAAUAAUGCAACCCCUUCAGUAUCUUCCGGUACUUCUAUAGAUAGAUUGGAAAAACAUGAUGGAGUAGAGAAGCAUCCAGUCAAGCUGUUCAGUUUUGUUCAUUCCCAUAAAAAAGUGAAAAAGAAAUGCUUUGACAGUGGUUCAAACAGUUUGAAGUUGCAAUUGUCUCAUGAUUUAGGAACCAUUACCAGUAAACCGUCAAUUUCAAACUCUGCCGUUUCAUUAUCUAGUAGUACUACAAAGUUGUCUGUUGUUGAAGUUACACCUUCAUCUUGUGAUUUGGGGGCUGCUAUUACUAAGUCACCUGUUUCAAACUCUGAGGGAUUGUUAACAACCUUCUCAAGUUUGAGUACUGAACAAAAGAAGCAAGAGGAUAAUCUUGUUCCAUCAACAUCAGUUGAAGCUGCAGCCAUCUCAAACGUUCCAAAUGUUGUUAAAACUCUGCCAGCAACAAGUGUCACAGUGUCUUGUCCAACCACUUCAGCCUUAUGUACAGCAUUGCCAGCUUUUGACAAAACAGACGAACACCAGAUCUUCAGAACACCUGCCUUCAGUUUUGUUGGUUCCACAGAAACAAAGUGCUCCAAAUCACCAUGUACACAAAAUGCUUCCAGUAAUUCUAAUGUUAAUACAGGACUAGUUAACCCCACAAUCACUUCUGAUGCUUCACACACAUCUGUAUUGCCUAGUAGCUCUGCAAUUGGAAAAGCUACUUCUUUGAACGUAACCACCAAAACAGAAAAUGAACAAGCUCUGUUUUUCCCAACAACGUCCAGAUUUGACAAGCCAUCCGAAAGCUCUUCCACAAGCAGUACAGCUGCUACUUUGACCACUGUAUUUCACAAUACUGCUGCUUGCAGUUCAUCAGAUAACAAGCAAACAAGCACCAUCACAUCAGCUCCUGACAGUGGGAAAGUCUAUUCAGUUGGAUCAGCACCUGGUUUUCCCUUUGCAAAAAUUAUAGAAUGUUCAUCAAAAAGCUCAUCCAAAUCGCCUUUCAGCUUGAGUACUUUGGGGCCUUUAGGUGAUCAAAACAAGGCAAUACCAAAAAGCUUCCUUCUCGGUUCUGAAACCGAAAGAUCCAAGUCUUUAUUCACCAGCUUUCCCAAUGUACAAUUUUCAGCUAAAUCAAAUACAUCUUUAGGAAACCAAAGUGAUUCAUCGGCCACUGAUUUGCUUUAUGCAAGAGGUGAUGCUUCUGACCUCUUCACACCUAUCCAGUCCAAAAGUGAUGUUUCAAUAUUGAAUGUUAAACAAGUACUGUCUUUUGAUGGGGGCUCAGUUUUUAAAUGUAAAGUUCCAAGUACCGUCACAGCUACUUCAUCUUUGUUUGCGUCUUCCUCCUCCUCGCUGUUUGCAGGCAAUUUUAAACAAGCUCAAAGCUUAGCAUCAUCAAAUCAAUCUACCAGUUCCUCUGAAAUUACCUCAGUUUGCUCCGUGACACAUUCAGCUGGUUCUAUUCCUACAGCUCUCACAACCUGUUUCAGUCAACAACUCUCAGCAGCAAGUGAGCAAGAAAGCACUGUUAAGCUAUUCAAGGUGAAAAAGAAGGUACCGAUAGUUGCUGAACCAUCUAAGCAUAAUAUACAUUUGUCUGAUUCUAAGCAUGAACAUUUGCCACCUAUAGUGAGUGAGCAGCAAAAUACUGAUAAAACAUCAACCAAUAUCAGUUUUGAAGACUGCAAAUCAAAAAAUACACAGGCUGAAAAGUGGUUAAGUUGUAAGCCAGUGCUACUUCAGGAGACAAAAUUAGGUGGUUCUAAAUGUCUAGGUUUCAGUAAAGAACUCUCUUCAGAAGUCAGUCAACACCAAACCAAUGCUGCAACCCAGGGUGCUGGAGUUGGAACUUGGAAAGCAAAGGCGUCUUCAUUAUCUGACAUGACAAUGAGUACAAAACAACAUGGUAAUGAUGAAGAAUCAGACCCCUUUUUGCAACCUAAGAACAUGAUACCUUCACUUGAAGAUUCAUUGGGGAAGUGUUUGAAUAAUAUAGAAGAAAGCGGAAAAGAAUCACCUGUGUUCAGUGAACAAAUUAAAGGUGUACAUGAAUUGCAUUCUUCUGAAAAUCAAGGACACACUGAAGUGUACCAUAGUCCUCCAACCUCUAGUGACUUUUGUGCUGUAGAACAUAAAAGCAACACAAGUGGUAAAGCAGACCUUUCAUGUAGUCCAGUAACGCAGAUCUCUUCAGAGCCACUAAACCUUUCAUCACACAGUAAAAGCUUUGCAUCUGUUCCACAAAGUAUUACAUCUAAAAGUAGUAGUUUUGAGGAAGCUAAUAAUAACACAAAAACAGAAGCUAUACAAACAACAUCAACUGAUUGUCCACUUGACACUCCUGCGGGUUUACACAAUGUUUUUACUUUUGGUGCAGGUAUUGGUUUCCAGUUCAAACCAGGAUGCCAGCUGUUUGCAUCAGGGUUAAAAGAGAGUAAGAGCGAUUGUGAAACUGGACCCAAACCAAUGUUCCCAUUCCCCCCUCCAGUUAAUAACCCACCCAUGUCGAUAACGGAAGAAGACAUUCUCUUCUCUAACCAAGCAAAGUUAUAUUACUUUGAAAGGACAUCCUUGCAGUGGAAGGAACGGGCAUUUGGAGAAAUUAGAAUUUUGCAACAUAAAACAACAAAACUACCUCGUCUAGUGAUGUGGAACAGUUCUAAUAAAUGUUGUGCCAAUCAUUGGAUCACAAGUAUCCUGAAACUGAAAAAUCCAAAAAACAGCAAUCACAACUGGACUUGGAGUGCACUGGAUUAUUCAGGGAAAAAGGUUAUCAGUUUAGAUUUGGCUAUACACUUCAAGCUAAAAGAAACUGCUCAGAUGUUCAAGGAGGUUUUUGAAUCAGUAAAAAACACUGAGAGGCCUGAAUCAACACAAGAAAGAUGUUCAGCAGAAAGUAAUGCUGUGGCAAAUGAUUCAAAAGAGGAAGGAAAUUCUUUGCAAGAAGGUGAUGACAAUGUGGUCGUGCUGAGUGAAGUUACACCAACUCCAGAGCAAAGAGCUCUUGCUUUAGAGUUGCGUCUUCCACCAACCUUCUUUUGUUACAAGAACAAGCCAGGAUAUCAAAGCAGUGAUGAUGAAGAUGAGAAUUUUGAGGCUGCAGUACAGAAACUUGGUGGACAGCUUUAUCCUAAUCAGAAAUAAUAUUUUUAAUGCCAUCCUGUGGUGGAGGUCACCAGAAGUGCCAGAAUUCGUUGCGCACUUCUAAUUGAUCUUGAAUGGAGGAGGCAGUUAAGAAUUGGCAACAUUGAUUCUGCCUGAACAACAGUGAGAUUUGUUUUACUUGGCAAUUACUGAAGAUAACUUGAUUUUGUAUGGUAUUUCGUAAAAGCAUAAGUGGGAUGAUGUGCAGUCUAUUCAUUAAAAUCAAGACUGAAUUAACUUUUAGUAUUAACUCCAAUUUCAUAUUUACCUUAUUUCCCUCGGUGCCCAAAAAUCUGCUGUCCAGUCAUGAAUAUAGUUAUUGCUAUUACUUUUGAAUAACCAAUUGGACCUAACAUUCAAGCAUAUUUGUUUACAUCAAUAUAUUAAAAUAUAACCUGAAGAGUUGCCUGAAAGCUCCAAGUACAAAAUAUGUGAGAUGCUUGGAUUUCCAGCAUCUGCAGAUUUAUGAAGUUCACUACACUAUUCAAUGUGAGUUUCAUAUUUGUUAUGAUGUAUAAGGAAACACUUUUGCUGUUUUUAGCAGUGUAUAUUGGUGUGAUCCAUUGUUGGUAUUCUGCAAUUGAAAUUACUUGCAGAUGUGCAUUGGGCAAAUGCAUAUAUUUUUAAUCUUUUUAAAUAGUUUUACAUAAAGAUGUGCAAGACCUAUCAGUGCAUCUAAAGUAUUUCCAAACGAUAAUAGAAAGAGCAAGGAAGUUUAAUGUAUUAUGAGUAUGUGGGAAAGGAUGCAAUUGUGUGGGUUGGUUACACUGAGCAAAAUUGAGUCUGCACAGAACCCUCACAUUUGCAUUUAACUGCAGGACAAGAUGUUUGCUCCUAAUUAGCUUUUGGAUUGAGAUUGAAAAGCUUUGAAUUGACUUGCUAAAAACAUCUAAUUAAAUUCCUGGAAAAUUUAUAAUGGGGUGUGAGAUGGAAGAGAGCUUCAAGGAAGAUGGAAAUGCAUUUAUAGCACUGUUGAGGGUUCCCCUGAUCUUCAGCGUUCCAUUCCCCAUUUUCAAAACACUAUUGAGGUGGCACUCGAUCCCAACUGAAUAGAAAAUAAACUAAUCAAUUAUGUUUUGCCCUCCUUUCAUAGAAAAUAAUCUUUUGGACUGUAAGAUGCAUAUUGUGGAGUUAAACAGGCCCUGAUAAAUUCAUGGAAAGAUACAUGUAAUUAAAAUAUGGUUUGAUAAGAAUCUAAGAUUGUUGGUUAUUUCCCCUUGCAUUUCUGUAUGAAAUGAGUUUCAUUCUUGUGUUUAUGUAUAUAUCAUUGGGGUUAGGAGUGUGAGUAGGUUAAUGUUCCAAAUUAAUAUUAAGAGCUUUUAUUUCCUAGAGUGGGAUUUUAAGGAUAUAUUGCAGUUCAUUCCAGCUAUGCAGCUAAUCCAUUCUGGAUUGUUACCAGCGCUAUACUUUCAACUUAGUGAUUUAAUUAUAAUUUUAUAUGGUUUAUUUUCUAAUCUGCCCUCUCCUUGUGUGUGAAGCAGAAUGCUUAGAAGAUUUGAGAACAGCUAAUACUUGCUGAAGGGUAUCUAGAAGAAUUCUUGUACCCGUAAGGUUUUUUUAAAAAAAAGCUGCAAACUGGAAUUAGUAUUGAUGAAUACUCUAUUGUGGGCUGAAAGACCCGUUUCUGUGAUUUGACACUGAUUCAGUAAUACAGAAAUCACUUAGAAUAGAGGAGCUUGGAGACAGAAACCCCAUAGUUUAUCACUUAAUGAUUCCACAUUUUUAACAUGAUACUUAGAAUCCACCAAAAAAAAUUGUUAUUUAUUAACAGGUGCAAAAGAGCUAUGUGCCUAUCUAACAGCUUAAAUCAUGAAUUUCAUCACCUUUUUUUCUGGAAUACUAGCAAAAUAUUUAUCAUUCAUUCUAUGAAGGUGAUAGCAUUCCUUAUUUUGAUUGUGAAUGAGUUUUAUGUUGCUCAGAAUUGUUUCUUUUGAAGAACAUUAAAUGAUAUUUUGCUAUAUGUAGCUGCCAGACCAAAUAACAUGGUAGUUUGGUAAAUGUCACCAUAUAGCAAUAUAAUGUUUUUUUUUGUCAUAGGUCCCGUGUGAUAAAACCCACACAUUCCAUGGGCAGGACAUACAAACAUAGUUCACUGGGUUAAACUCUGAACUGUAAUAGCAUCGCACUAAUUGCUACACUACCAUUGUGCCUGAAUGUUGCUGUUAGAGGUCAAGAUUCAAAUCACUACCAGCUUCACUCAAAUCACAAAAGUCUGGGUACACAAUAUUUAAGAUGGUCUGGAAUAUGCAAAAUAAAAUGAUGUUACAAAUUUACCAUUAGCCUAUAAAACCAGAAGACAAAUAUUAGGAGCAGCAUUAGUCCAUUUGGCUCAUCAAGUCUGCACUAUCAUUUGAUCAUGGCUGAUUCAUUUUCUAACUCAACCUCAAUCUUUGAUGCCCUUAUUAAGUACCUGUCAGCCUCCACUUCAAAUAUACCCAUUGACUUGGCCUUCACAGCCACAAUUCAAUAACUCUUUAGAUACCCAGGAAUCUGAUCAACAACCAAAGGCAUGAUCAGAGUUUAAUGUUAUAUAAAAAAGUUUCAAGACAAUUCUAGAAUCUGUACUAAAGGCAGAUACUUGAUUUAAGUGAAAAACCAAGAGAUGUCAAUUUGGUGGGCAGAUAAGAAUUAAUUUAACAGGUAAGCCAAAGUGAGAAACUAGUAUUAAGUUCAGAUCACAUCCCAAUUCUAGCUGCCCUUCCCAGAGCUUAUUGCAAAAAGCAAUGUUUUAGACACCCUGGAGGUGUGAUAACUAUUGAAUUCUUUAGUUCUUUCCUGGUCGAUAAGGCUAUGAAACAUUCCACGUGAGAAUCAGCUUUAGGCAAAGAAAUUCACAAUUACAUGGAAUUUUAAUGUCCUACCUACAACAACAAUGCUACUAUAAUCUACAAUAUAAUAUAGUAUAUCAAAUUAUUUGUAUUUGAGAUGCUGUUUGAGUAUUUUAUACCCCUGUAAUGUAACAAAAGGUGUUGCACAUAUUAACUGUGAUUAUCCAAAGGUAGCCACAUAAAUUUGGAAUGUAGUUGCUGUAAUUGUAUUUCAUAUCACAUUUGAUUUGAAUGCGUGACUACAA